AUAAGCUGGACCGUUCAAAAUAAUUAAAACUAAAUCAAACUUUUGAAAGUCUUAAUGAUCACCAAAUCAUAUGAAAUUUUGUGGAGGUGAUCUACUCAUAUAGACCUAAGAUAUGAACGGUGGAGAUGUAAAAAUUCAAUUGGGAAGUGGUGUAAUGCCCUAUCCCUAGAAAGUGGCCAAAAAUAGGGAUCCCUCAAUGGAAGGGGGCUGUAUAUAUAUAUAUAUCACUGCACUACAUAUUGUCUCUUGAAUUUUUGGUUUCAUAUAUCAAUGUUGAAUGUUCGCUGCUUAUGAUCAUCUAAAUCCUAAUUAUCUUCUACUUAAUUCGCCACUUAUUUCUAUGUUUUUGUAUUAGAACAGUGCUGUUAUCUCUUUUACAACCCUACCACGCAUUUGUUCAUGUUUUCUUGUUAUUCGACAGACCUUUUUUCUUCACUAUUAUCAUUGAUGAUAUCGAACAAGAAUCCAUCAUUAUUUUCCCAAAUGGCUGGAUAUGCAACAAGGCAUCUAGGUUCCCUGUCUCGUAGUAGUUCAUUAUUGCCUGAAAGAAAUUUAUACAUGGACAG
rnacentral:lncRNA from 1 species